GAUGAACGCUGGCGGCGUGCCUAAUACAUGCAAGUCGAGCGAACGGACGAGAAGCUUGCUUUUCUGAUGUUAGCGGCGGACGGGUGAGUAACACGUGGAUAACCUACCUAUAAGACUGGGAUAACUUCGGGAAACCGGAGCUAAUACCGGAUAAUAUUUUGAACCGCAUGGUUCAAAAGUGAAAGACGGUCUUGCUGUCACUUAUAGAUGGAUCCGCGCUGCAUUAGCUAGUUGGUAAGGUAACGGCUUACCAAGGCAACGAUGCAUAGCCGACCUGAGAGGGUGAUCGGCCACACUGGAACUGAGACACGGUCCAGACUCCUACGGGAGGCAGCAGUAGGGAAUCUUCCGCAAUGGGCGAAAGCCUGACGGAGCAACGCCGCGUGAGUGAUGAAGGUCUUCGGAUCGUAAAACUCUGUUAUUAGGGAAGAACAUAUGUGUAGGUAACUGUGCACAUCUUGACGGUACCUAAUCAGAAAGCCACGGCUAACUACGUG
rnacentral:rRNA from 1 species